UUAAAUUGAAGAGUUUGAUCAUGGCUCAGAUUGAACGCUGGCGGCAGGCCUAACACAUGCAAGUCGAACGGUAACAGGAAUCAGCUUGCUGAUUCGCUGACGAGUGGCGGACGGGUGAGUAAUGUCUGGGAAACUGCCUGAUGGAGGGGGAUAACUACUGGAAACGGUAGCUAAUACCGCAUAACGUCGCAAGACCAAAGAGGGGGACCUUCGGGCCUCUUGCCAUCGGAUGUGCCCAGAUGGGAUUAGCUAGUAGGUGGGGUAACGGCUCACCUAGGCGACGAUC
rnacentral:rRNA from 1 species